UUCACUUUCACAUCACAUUUAUACUUAAAGUGACGAUACUACUUAUAGAUCUACCAGUUGAUAAACAUCAUCAUCAUAGAUAAUAAUCUACAUCUAUAAUCAUAGUGCCCUUUAUUUAGUCAAUAUAGACUUUUUAUAGUCAAGUCAAGGUAGUGGAACGUAAACUCGAAGGUUUAAUACAAUAUGUUAUUAACAAGUAGAACCAUGGCAACCAGUUCUGAUGAUGUACCAGAAUGGCUCAAGGAUCAUACUUAUACUAUUUCUACUCUCUGGGCAUCCAUUCAAUAUUUAAUUUAUGUUUGGAAAUGCAAGAAAAAGGCAUGCAUUCCUGAAAAGUCAAUGAUUGGUUGCACCUCUUAAAGAUAACUUUCUGUUAUGAGAAAAGAUGAGAUUCUUGGACUCCUGCAUAGCACCACCAGAAAGGAAAAUCCCAUCAUGUUGCAAAAUAAAAGUCUUGGACCAAUUUUAAUUUAAGAUAUAUAUAUAUUAUACUGUAAGCUGUAUACAUAUUUAUGUAUAUCCUGUCAUUCAGCCAACAGGUUUGGAUUUAGUAUUUCUUUAAAUCUGUUUGAUAUUGUACUUGAAAACUAUUAAUCUGAGCCCCAUUAAAACAAGAGGGAGUGCAGUGGAUGAGUGGUAAGUGAAAUUUUACUUUUUAAAAAUUAAAAUAAGAAUCUAACAAAAGUAAACAUAUAAAAUAUGGUGCAUUCUCCUUAAAACUAAAACCUGGUGCAAAGGUUUAAAAUGUUGGCAAAAAAAAAAAGCAACAUCAAUUAAAUAUUCUUAAUUCCCUUUGCAAAACUUACUGAGAAGAACAUGCA